rnacentral:rRNA from 1 species
UACGUAGGCAGCAAGCGUUGUUCGGAGUUACUGGGCGUAAAGGGUGUGUAGGCGGUUCUUUAAGUCUGGUGUGAAAUCUCCCGGCUCAACUGGGGGGGUGCGCCGAAUACUGAGGGACUAGAGUACGGGAGAGGAAAGUGGAAUUCCUGGUGUAGCGGUGAAAUGCGUAGAUAUCAGGAGGAACACCGGUGGUGUAGACGGCUUUCUGGACCGACACUGACGCUGAGACACGAAAGCGUGGGUAGCAAACAGG